CAUGGCUCAGAUUGAACGCUGGCGGCAGGCCUAACACAUGCAAGUCGAACGGUAACAGGAAACAGCUUGCUGUUUCGCUGACGAGUGGCGGACGGGUGAGUAAUGUCUGGGAAACUGCCUGAUGGAGGGGGAUAACUACUGGAAACGGUAGCUAAUACCGCAUAACGUCGCAAGACCAAAGAGGGGGACCCUCGGGCCUCUUGCCAUCGGAUGUGCCCAGAUGGGAUUAGCUUGUUGGUGGGGUAACGGCUCACCAAGGCGACGAUCCCUAGCUGGUCUGAGAGGAUGACCAGCCACACUGGAACUGAGACACGGUCCAGACUCCUACGGGAGGCAGCAGUGGGGAAUAUUGCACAAUGGGCGCAAGCCUGAUGCAGCCAUGCCGCGUGUAUGAAGAAGGCCUUCGGGUUGUAAAGUACUUUCAGCGGGGAGGAAGGGAGUAAAGUUAAUACCUUUGCUCAUUGACGUUACCCGCAGAAGAAGCACCGGCUAACUCCGUGCCAGCAGCCGCGGUAAUACGGAGGGUGCAAGCGUUAAUCGGAAUUACUGGGCGUAAAGCGCACGCAGGCGGUUUGUUAAGUCAGAUGUGAAAUCCCCGGGCUCAACCUGGGAACUGCAUCUGAUACUGGCAAGCUUGAGUCUCGUAGAGGGGGGUAGAAUUCCAGGUGUAGCGGUGAAAUGCGUAGAGAUCUGGAGGAAUACCGGUGGCGAAGGCGGCCCCCUGGACGAAGACUGACGCUCAGGUGCGAAAGCGUGGGGAGCAAACAGGAUUAGAUACCCUGGUAGUCCACGCCGUAAACGAUGUCGACUUGGAGGUUGUGCCCUUGAGGCGUGGCUUCCGGAGCUAACGCGUUAAGUCGACCGCCUGGGGAGUACGGCCGCAAGGUUAAAACUCAAAUGAAUUGACGGGGGCCCGCACAAGCGGUGGAGCAUGUGGUUUAAUUCGAUGCAACGCGAAGAACCUUACCUGGUCUUGACAUCCACGGAAGUUUUCAGAGAUGAGAAUGUGCCUUCGGGAACCGUGAGACAGGUGCUGCAUGGCUGUCGUCAGCUCGUGUUGUGAAAUGUUGGGUUAAGUCCCGCAACGAGCGCAACCCUUAUCCUUUGUUGCCAGCGGUCCGGCCGGGAACUCAAAGGAGACUGCCAGUGAUAAACUGGAGGAAGGUGGGGAUGACGUCAAGUCAUCAUGGCCCUUACGACCAGGGCUACACACGUGCUACAAUGGCGCAUACAAAGAGAAGCGACCUCGCGAGAGCAAGCGGACCUCAUAAAGUGCGUCGUAGUCCGGAUUGGAGUCUGCAACUCGACUCCAUGAAGUCGGAAUCGCUAGUAAUCGUGGAUCAGAAUGCCACGGUGAAUACGUUCCCGGGCCUUGUACACACCGCCCGUCACACCAUGGGAGUGGGUUGCAAAAGAAGUAGGUAGCUUAA
rnacentral:rRNA from 1 species